rnacentral:rRNA from 1 species
UACGGGGGAGCAAGCGUUGUUCGGAUUUACUGGGCGUAAAGGGCGCGUAGGCGGCCACCGCAAGUCGACUGUGAAAUCUCCGGGCUUAACCCGGAAAGGUCAGCCGAUACUGCGGGGCUAGAGUGCAGAAGGGGCAACUGGAAUUCUCGGUGUAGCGGUGAAAUGCGUAGAUAUCGAGAGGAACACCUAUGGCGAAGGCAGCUCGCUGGGACGUUACUGACGCUGAGACGCGAAAGCGUGGGGAGCAAACAGG